CCUACGGGAGGCAGCAGUGAGGAAUAUUGGUCAAUGGACGAGAGUCUGAAGCAGCCAAGUAGCGUGAAGGAUGACUGCCCUAUGGGUUGUAAACUUCUUUUAUAUGGGAAUAAAACGUUCCACGUGUGGGCUUGUGUAUGUACCAUAUGAAUAAGGAUCGGCUAAAUCCGGGCCAGCAGCCCCGGUACUACGGAGGAUCCGAGCGUGAUCCGGAUUUAUUGGGUUUAAGGUGCGCGCCGGUGGAUUGUUAAGUCAGUUGUGAAAGUUUGCGGCUCAACCGUACAAUUGCAGUUGAAACUGGCAGGCUUGAGUACAGUAGAGGUGGGCGGAAUUCGUGGUGUAGCGGUGAAAUGCUUAGAGAUCACGAAGAACUCCGAUUGCGAAGGCAGUUCACUGGACAUCAACUGACACUGAGGUGCGAAAGUGUGGGUAUCAAACAGGAUUAGAUACCCUAGUAGUC
rnacentral:rRNA from 1 species